GAUGAAGAACGUAGCGAAAUGCGAUAAGUAGUGUGAAUUGCAGAAUUCAGUGAAUCAUCGAAUCUUUGAACGCACAUUGCGCCUCCUGGCAUUCCAUGGGGCAUGCCUGUUCGAGCGUCAUUUGUACCUUCAAGCUUUGCUUGGUGUUGGGUGUUUGUCUCGCCUUUGCGUGUAGACUCGCCUUAAAAUAAUUGGCAGCCGGCGUAUUGAUUUCGGAGCGCAGUACAUCUCGCGCUUUGCACUCAUAACGACAGCGUCCAAAAGUACAUUUUACACUCUUGACCUCGGAUCAGGUAGGGAUACCCGCUGAACUUAAGCAUAUCAAUAAGCGGAGGA
rnacentral:misc_RNA from 1 species